GGAUCACCAGACGAGGAGUCACCUGUCAUCUAUAUAGUAUAUCUGCAGGUUGCUUCACAUUGGUAUCAUGCAUCCCAACUAAAGCUGAGAAGGAGCAUAAUGGAUAGUGACACUGAAAAAUCACAGGGAUAUGGAGUGACAGAAAACGGCAACCGAUCAGAAAUCCCAUUGCUUGUAGGAAUGGUUUUGGUUAUGAGG